UUUCAAAAUAUUCUCACAUUCAUGUUCUUAUGUGUUUCUUUUGACUUUUUACAUUGAUCCAUAUCUCAAGAUGAUUAUCACAUUAAGGUUCUUCUGUGUUACUUUUGCCCAAGUUGGGAUAGCUGUUUUAUAACUGUGUAGCAUUGAAAAGUUCACUGCAUCCUUAUUAGAUGUGCUUGCUUUCCCUUUAUGAAGUCAACAAGAUUCUGAUAUUCUAUGU